GCCUGGGUGGCUCAGUCGGUUAAGCGUCUGACUUCAGCUCAGGUCAUGAUCUCACGGUCCGUGAGUUCGAGCCCCGCGUCGGGCU
rnacentral:tRNA from 1 species